rnacentral:tRNA from 1 species
CCUCGCGCUGGCAGGCUUCGGCAAUGCGACCGCGUUGUCGACGCGCUGUGAUGCGCCGGAGCAGGCGAGCCGCCCGUUCGACGCGCAGCGCGACGG